rnacentral:rRNA from 1 species
GUCCACGCCUUAAACGAUGUCAACUGGUUGUUGGGGGAUUAACUCCCUUAGUAACGAAGCUAACGCGUGAAGUUGACCGCCUGGGGAGUACGGCCGCAAGGUUAAAACUCAAAGGAAUUGACGGGGACCCGCACAAGCGGUGGAUUAUGUGGAUUAAUUCGAUGCAACGCGAAAAACCUUACCUACCCUUGACAUGUACGGAAGCCUCCAGAGAUGGAGAUGUGCCCGAAAGGGAACCGUAACACAGGUGCUGCAUGGCUGUCGU